GCUUGGGCUUUGCUGCUCACGGGGUGCUGGCUGGGUUGCAGGUGGGCACCAUGAGCACAGGGCUGGGCGGUGUGGGAUGAGGUACAGCUGUGCUCCGACUGCUUCCCCAGCACUGGGCUGCUCUUGCUGGAGCCGCAGCCUGCCGAGGGAAAGUUUCCAGCCACUGUGGAAAACCCAAAAUGAUGAGUCAGAGGGCUCAGAAACCAGAAGACAAUCAUGUUGGGAAGGUGUGGGCACGCCUUGUCUGUGCCUGUCCUUGGGGACUUUUUAAUGGGUUGGCAGGCUUCAGACCAAUUCCGACACCGGAUCCUACAGGUUACAUGGCAAGAUGCCACCGCCUCGAGAUCCAGACCAGAGCAGCUCCUCUUCCAGUGACCAGAGGGAUGUGGUGGGAGACGGCUUCGGUCUGGCUCCCUGGUGGGCACCAGUGAACCCAGCCAGGAGAAGUGUUCUGAAGCCGUGGGUGCUACUGUCCAGGGAGCAGAGGACUGAGCAGGCAUCGCUAGGGCGGGUGGCAGAGAUCCUGCAGAGAUCCUGGCGUUGGCACGGGCUGGCUCCUGCCUGAGCUCCUGCAGCGAGGAGGCCACCACUUGGACCUCAAGUCCUGCCUUGCUCCUGGUCUGCCAAGCAGGGGGACAGGGCUCCUUUGCUGUCUGCACGUGGGCUCAAAGCUCCAUCAGUCAUCUCCUACAGGUUUUGCAGCCUUUGUACUUUCUACAUCCCUGCUGGAAGCAAAGGUGCCAAAAUACUUCGCGAAAGCCUGUUCUUGCAGUACUUCCCAGACCUUCCCGCACUAGGAAAUGCCGGAAAUCGUGGGAGCAAGGCUGCUCCCUGGAGAGUCCUGACACAAGUUUUGCAGACCCUGAAGAUCUGGAAAAGCCUAAACUUCCCAAGACAUGGACUUCUCUCCAAAGCCAACAGGAACUCGGAAACUUUGGGCCUCUUGGUUUCGUUGCUCUGUAGACCCUGAAUCUUUAAAGUCAACCUUUGUUUUAUAUUUAUACGUUGCACGAAUAUACCCUUAUUUUUCUAAUUAGGGAGUCUGGGUCAAAAAUUCCUCGUUAAAGCUGCCUGCAGGCCAGAGUUUGUCUUGCUUGACUUGAGGCCAAAUCGCAGAGGUAUCUGGGCUUGGAGCUGAAUCUCCUCGCCUGCCUUCUGAGUUGGUGGAGGAAGCCAGAGCUCGGGGCAACUCUCCCAGCACAAGGGCUCCUCUUCCCUGCGCCCAGCGAGGGAGACCAAGCGUCGGCGUGAGCCGGUGCCUUGGGGGCCGGUGUGGCUGGACACCCAGCUGCAUCCUGGUGGCAUGGGGAGAAGGAUGGAGCCUCGAAGGGCUAAAGCAGCAUCACUGAGGUUAAUGGGAUGGGAUACAGGGGAUGUUCUCCUCUUCUGUCUGAAUUUCAGUUGGCACAGAAAUCCCCAUCCAGCUCCCACCCAUGACCUCAGAUUUGAAAAAGAGAGAGUUCAUCUUCCAGAGAAAAAACACUGUGGGGGAUCCCAUUUUUCGGGGCAGGGCAGACCUGGGGCCCUGGAGCUCAGCUGUGGGGCCACUGCCUUGGGCCAGAUGCAGCUCCUUGGCCCAGUGCUGCCAGGCUCGGCUGGGGAAGCAUCAGGGUGUGUAGAGCGCGUGGGUAGGCGAGGGGCGUGCGGGACGUGCUCUCCCCAGGCACACCAGCUCUUCAGGACUGGUUUGGGUUGAAGUUUAAGAACAGCAAACUAUUGUCUGUUCAUUUAACAGACCGUUUCCCAAUGACUUUGCUCCAGGCUAAUUCAUUUCAAUGGGUUUCCCCUUCCUGUAGAUUUAUCUUGCCUUUCUUCUCGUUCCUAGAAAAUGCAAGGGAAAGGGGAGAAGAAGAUGCUUCCUUUGGAAAUAUUGCACUGCUUACCUGCCCUGGAGGGGGAGAGAUGAGGAUUCACAGGGAAGCUGAAAAAGGAAUCUUCCUUUUGAAAUUUCCCUUAAAAUAAAAAAGUAACAGUUUUGGCAAAGCCUUCUGGCCGCAAUCUCAUCUUGUUCCAUUUCCAGACAGGGAGAGAAGCCUUGGGGGGCAUUUUUCUGCUGCGUGGAGCCUCCUUUCAACUUGCUCCCACUCUGGUGGCAGCGUGGGGCUGUACCCUGGCACAAGACACCCUCA